rnacentral:rRNA from 1 species
CAGCCGCCACGGGAAUACGUAGGUGGCGAGCGUUGUCCGGAAUCAUUGGGCGUAAAGGGAGCGCAGGCGGGCAUGUAAGUCUUUCUUAAAAGUUCGGGGCUCAACCCCGUGAUGGGAAAGAAACUACAUGUCUUGAGUACAGGAGAGGAAAACGGAAUUCCCAGUGUAGCGGUGAAAUGCGUAGAUAUUGGGAAGAACACCAGUGGCGAAGGCGGCUUUCUGGACGGCAACUGACACUGAGGCUCGAAAGCCAGGGGAGCGAACGGGAUUAGAUACCCCAGUAGUCCCUGUCUCUUAUACA